UAGUUUAAAAAAAAAAAAAAAGCUUCGAAGGCAUGCAAUUGAUGUUCAACUAGCCAUUGGAAUGAUUCCAUGUCUUGCAUUGUGUGCACGGAAUGGAAACAGUUCAGUGACUCUCAAAAACAAGGAAAUGAAACAGCAGUGAUAUGGUUAAAACAAGUUAGACAAAUGGCUUUUAGAGAGGAUGAAAAAAUGUCAGGCAAAGGCCUUAACUGUGCUGCAUUGCACAGAACAUGUUUCUGAGCACUUGUUUUAUAUUAAUUGCAGUCCUUCAAUGCAAUUGGAUUGUUGGCGCUAUUAUAAUGCUGGGGCCAGUCAUGGCUGAGUUGAAUCCCUGAGUUCUGUUUUUUUCCCUCUUUGUUUGGUAUCACCCUUUCUUUCAAAUAGCAGAGGAUUUAAAUUUCAGUAACCGCAGGUGAGUACUUGGAGCUGACAUGGAUAAUACCUAAAAAUGAACCAUGCUAUAAGUAAAAAUUUCAUUUUAUCUCAGUUUAUCUCAUAUAAUGGAAAUAUGUUCCUUCUAAUGCUCUAGUAUCAUAUUAAAUACAGUAUAUGUUUUUUGGCAAGCUCUAACAUAAAUAGGCUACCUUCAGUUAAGUAUGGAUUUAAAAUAACUUAAAAUGGAUUUGAAGUAACAUUUCUCAACAUUAAUGAUAUAUUUAAUUUUUACAUGUCCUUAAAUUACUUUAGCACUAGUCACAUACCAUAGUGUCAUGCUUGUAGAAUGCUUAAUUAAACAAGCAACUAAU
rnacentral:lncRNA from 1 species